rnacentral:rRNA from 1 species
CAAUAGCGUAUAUUUAAGUUGUUGCAGUUAAAAAGCUCGUAGUUGGAUUUCGGUUAAGAGCGACCGGUCCGCCGUUUGGUGUGCACUGGUUGGUUUUAACUUCCUGUAGAGGACGUGCUCUGGGUUUAACAACCUGGACUCGGAGUCUACGUGGUUACUUUGAAAAAAUUAGAGUGUUCAAAGCGGGCUUACGCUUGAAUAUUUCAGCAUGGAAUAACACUAUAGGACUCCUGUCCUAUUUCGUUGGUCUCGGGACGGGAGUAAUGAUUAAGAGGAACAGUUGGGGGCAUUCGUAUUUCAUUGUCAGAGGUGAAAUUCUUGGAUUUAUGAAAGACGAACUUCUGCGAAAGCAUUUGCCAAGGAUGUUUUCAUUA